AUGGAAUCUUGCUGUGUUGGCCAGGCUGGUUUUGAACUCCCACCCUCAAGAGAUCCUCUCUCCUCAGCCUCCAAAAGUGCUGGGAUUUCCUGCAUGAGCCAUUGUUACCUGGCCCUGCUCAGCUUCUGGUGCCCUCCCGAGGGGGACCACGUCCUACCUGUGUCUGUGGGCCUUGUGACUGGUGACCCUCCCACCCUCCUGACAGGCAGUGACCUCGCCAGGGGCUAUGUCUCCUUCAUUUCUGUAGCCCUGGCACUCAGCAGAGCCUCGGCACACAGCAGGCGCCCACUCAAUGUUUGCUAACUAAACAUUUGCCAUAGUGUUAUGUUUGGUCUUUUCCACUGGCCUGAUUUUAUUUAGUUCUUUUGUUUGCUUUGUUUUGAGACAGGGUAAUGUUGCCCAGGCUGGCCAAGUGAUCCUCUCGCCUCAGCCUCCCGAGGAACUGCGAUUACAGGUGUGAGCCACGGUGCCCAGUGAGUUUAUUUUCUUUUAAUCACGUUCUUUUGUUUUCUAGUUCAUCUUUGUUUUUACAACAUGUAUUCUCCUUUUUCUGAUUACAAAACUAAUGUACCCAUUGCCAGAAACAUUGAAGAUACACCAGUGUAAAGGAAAUAGGAGAUUACCCAUGAAUUACCAACCCAGAAGUCACCAUGAUUAGUCACUUUUUCUUCUUCUGCUGCUGGUGCAUUUUUCCUUUUACUAAAUCUUAUUUUGUGACCAUUCUUAUAUCUUCACUGUUCUUUGAAGCCAUCCUAUUUGAUGGCUGUGUAAUAUUCCAUUUUGUCAUUUUAUCAUUAUUUAACCAAGCACGCCACACAUAAAUAAUCCUGACACCCCCGUGCCCAUCCUCCUCAACAGACACAACCCCCAUCCAUCCCUCUGUCUGUGAACACACCGACUCGUGCGGCAGUGACUCCUAAGCCUCACAAUUGAGGUGAUUUCCCAGAGGAGGCUGAACAAUGGCCUGGACGUGUGGACCCAGCAGGGUGGGGUUCCAGCCUUUUCCUCCUACUGUCCCUCAGACAGACAGAGAGACAGACAGAUGGCCAGCCAGACAGACAGGCAUCGGGACAGGCAGGCGGGAGGCACCAGGGGAAGGCGGAGGCAAUAGCGUUGUGGGUGUCUGGCCUUUCAGAAGGAUUGAGUGAUGGGGGGUGGGGUCAUUGGGAGCAGGGCGCUGGCCUGGAUGGGAGCUGUGUGCUUGGGGGUGAGCCCUAGAGAAGGGCAGGUGACGGGAAGGAGCUUUCUCUGUUUAAUCCUCUCAAGGGCAUGCAAAGGGAGGUGAUUGAUGGUCUCAGAACCA
rnacentral:lncRNA from 13 species